GUCCCUUAAGAAUUUGAAUAUAUCCUAAUACUUUUCGCUCUAUUAAAGUUAAAAAAGCUACCCCUACUAAAAUACAAAUAAUUAAAAUUAAUAAAUUUAAAAUUAUUAAAAAUGUAUCUUUUAUUAUUAUUUGUAUAAUUAUACAUUAAAAGAUUCUAAAUCUAUCGCACUAUUCUGCCAAAAUAAUAAUUUUAUUCAAAUAUAAAAUUAUUAAUUAAAAUUUUGGUCCUUUCGUACUAAAAACUUUUAAUAUUUUAAAGAUAGAAACCAACCUGGCUUACACCGGUUUAAACUCAGAUCAUGUAAAGUUUCAAUGGUCGAACAGACCAAAUAUUUUAGCUUCUACACCAAAUAUUAACUUUAAUCCAACAUCGAGGUCGCAAUCUCUUUUUUCGAUUUGAACUCUAAAAAAAAAUAACGCUGUUAUCCCUAAGGUAAUUUAAUCUUUUAAUCAUUUAUAUGGAUCAUCUAAUCAUAAACUAAUGGUAUUAUAAAAAAAAAGUUAUAUUAAUUUUUUAAUCACCCCAAUCAAAUUAUAAAAAAAAAUUAAAUUUAAAAUUCUAAAAUUUAUAAAUAAUUAUUUAUAAUAAAACUCUAUAGGGUCUUCUCGUCUAUUAAAAAUAUUUAAGCUUUUUAACUUAAAAAUAAAUUUUUUCUAAAAAUUAAUUAUAGAAAGCUAUUUUCUCAUCAAACCAUUCAUACAAGCUUUCAAUUAAAAAACUAAUGAUUAUGCUACCUUUGCACAGUCAAAAUACUGCGGCCCUUCAAAAUUCAGUGGGCAGGCCCUACUUUAAAUUAUAUUCAAAAAGAGAUGUUUUUGUUAAACAGGC
rnacentral:rRNA from 1 species